GCUUAGAUAAGCUUGGUUGGUAAAGCACUUAUCUAGCAUACAAGAGUCGUGGGUUUGAAUCCCAUCUUAAUUU
rnacentral:tRNA from 2 species